rnacentral:rRNA from 1 species
GUCUACAGCCAUACCACCCUGAACACACCCAAUCUUGUCUGAUCUCGGAAGCUAAGAAGGGCCGGGCCUGGUCAGUACUUGGAUGGGAGAAUUAUACUAGACUGAGCUGAGGAGG